rnacentral:tRNA from 1 species
GUGGCUGUGGCUCAGUGGUACAGCACUUGCCUGGCAUGUGUGAGGCACUGGGUUCGAUUCUCAGCACCACA